AAUAGAUGUGCUAAGGUGUCGCCUCUUCGCCGUCUAAAUGUUCUUCAGAAUCAGAUGAGAUGAUUUGUUUUUUGCGCACUUUUAGAUAUCGAGUGCUUCAAACUUUUUGAAACCUUGUUUUCUUUUUGUCCAUUUUUUUGUCGUGGUAUUCCAGACAAACCGAGUUGGGAAUUGAACAUAUGUCAUACUUUUGGCUUCUUCGUCACUUUGAUUAAUCUUCAUCCACUCUGUAAACAUUGUCCUGUCAACUCCAUCUCGUGAAAUGACACUGUCGAGACUUUGGUUUGCAUCGAAUAUAAGAGGUUGUUGGUCAGGCAGGUGCAAAGAAAGGUGUUGAACGGCUGGUCUGCUAUAGUGAAUAUCAAACGAAAUAUCCUCCACAUUGCCUCACAUGCUGAAAUAUAUCGACAUUCUUGAAAUUUUUUAAUCUCGUCAACAUAGUUUGACUCGCCUUUUGUUUUUACCACCGACCCCGAGGCCCUCUCUACAACAAUUGUAGCUUUGUCAACCCCUUUUUUUGAUGUAUUUAAAUAAAUACUUUCUCGUUUCGGUUGAACAGCACCAUUCAACAUUCAUAUGUG